GGGGCGGGGAAAGGACCAGCGGGCGGGGCAACGGUCUGACUGGGGCGUGGCGAGGAGAGGGUGGGCGUGGGGGUUGGUGCGGGUUGGCGAAGGGUGGAGGCAUGUCAGGCCCCGGCCACGCCCCUGCCGGUUUGGGCGGGAGCCGCCCCGGGACCAACUGCCCUCGUUGCUCACACCAAGGAGGCCUUGGCUAGCUCAGCCGGACCCCAAAGCCUGGACCGGGUCUCCACCUCCCCCCCACCCCCGUGCCCACGCCCUCCAUGCCGGCCUCGCCUGGGAGCAGAUCACUGCUGCCUCGCCCCCGCGGCCCACUCGCCCAGCGGGGCGCCUUAUCCGAGAGCCCUCCGGGCCUCAGCUUUAUCACCCGGCACCACCCGGCGUGGUUCUAACCCCGCGCCUUUGCGCUGCGCUGCACACCAGCUUUUUUUUUCUAAGACAGGAUCUCCCUGAGUUGCUCAGCUGCCCAGCCUGGGCUCGAACCUGCAGUCCAGCGCGGAGGCCUGGCCAACCCCUGACUUCCCGUGGCUGGGCCCAGGGUGUCAGCAGAGUCAGCUUCCAGGGAAUCCGACCUCUGGUCUCCCGCCCUAGUCCAGGGCCUUCCUGAGACUCCAGUCUUCGUGCCGAUGUCCCCAGGGCUGUGGUAAGGACUGAACCCCUUGGUGGCAGCUUCUGGAUCGUGUGGCUGCCCCUGCUGCCAUCCAAGGCCCCUCUCCCCCUCCACCCCAGUGUCCUCGCUUUUUUAUUUAUUUAUUUUUAUUUUUAUUUUUUUUUUUUCAUCCUCACUUUCUCUCUGCUCCUGAGACAGCCCCAGCUUUCUCUUGCCCCAGGGCCUUUGCACUUGCUGUUCUCACUUCUAAAAUACUCUCACCCUAGGUCCCACUGUGGCUGACUCCUUCUCUCCCGGGUCUCAGCCCAAAGCCCACUCCUCAGAAAAAUCCUUCAGUGUUUAGUCUGCUGUACACUUGAGCUCCAGCCCUCUCGAUGGCAAGUCACCCACUCUGUCUGCAGGUUCCUGGAGGGAGACGCUGGUCUCUCCUCUCUCACAACCAGGGAUUGCUGUGGUCCUAGUGAUGUUGGCGGUCCUUGGAAAGGGGGAGUCACUUUGCUGAGGCCUUGGCCGGCCUGGGCCUGAUGCCACCCCCUCCUUUGGCCCCAGCUUGCCCUGGCCAUCUUACCCGGGCCACUUGUCCUCAAGGUCCAGAUGUGCGUGGUGUUGACCUCAGAGAGCCCAAGGCCGGGCCCAGGGCCACAGUGCCAAUGCCACGUGGGUGCCUGACAAGCGCGAGGGCAGAGAUGAAAGGGGGUUGGACGCACGUGGCCAGCCUCGGGACCUUGGUGGGGACAGCGGCCGAGGGAGGGAGAUACGGGUGCCGUCACCCAGAGAAGUCUUGAGAGGCGGCCACAGGAGAAGGGACAGAGUGACCACACUAGGGGUCGAGGGUCCUGCGAAAACCAGCUCGGAGGAUGGCUGCUCGGGAGGCUGAGGCAGGAGGAUUGCAAGUUUGAAGUCAGCCUGGACAACUUAGUGAGAUCCUGUGUCAAAAUAAAAUAAAAUAAAAAAUUAAAUUAAAUUAAAUUAAAAAGCUGGGAUGUAGCUCAGCAGUAGAGCACUGGAGCAGCAUACUCAAGGCCCUGGAUACCAUCCCCAGGACUGAAAAAAUAAUAAUAGUAAUGG
ensembl:lncRNA